rnacentral:rRNA from 1 species
AUUGAACGCUGGCGGCAGGCCUAACACAUGCAAGUCGAACGGUAACAGGAAGCAGCUUGCUGCUUCGCUGACGAGUGGCGGACGGGUGAGUAAUGUCUGGGAAGCUGCCUGAUGGAGGGGGAUAACUACUGGAAACGGUAGCUAAUACCGCAUAAUGUCGCAAGACCAAAGAGGGGGACCUUCGGGCCUCUUGCCCUCGGAUGUGCCCAGAUGGGAUUAGCUUGUUGGUGGGGUAACGGCUCACCAAGGCGACGAUCCCUAGCUGGUCUGAGAGGAUGACCAGCCACACUGGAACUGAGACACGGUCCAGACUCCUACGGGAGGCAGCAGUGGGGAAUAUUGCACAAUGGGCGCAAGCCUGAUGCAGCCAUGCCGCGUGUAUGAAGAAGGCCUUCGGGUUGUAAAGUACUUUCAGCGGGGAGGAAGGGAGUAAAGUUAAUACCUUUGCUCAUUGACGUUACCCGCAGAAGAAGCACCGGCUAACUCCGUG